AUACGUAGGGGGCGCGCGUUGUCCGGAAUGAUUGGGCGUAAAGGGCGCGUAGGCGGCCUGUUAAGUCUGGAGUGAAAGUCCUGUUUUCAAGAUGGGAAUUGCUUUGGAUACUGAUGAGCUUGAGUGCAGGAGAGGUUAUCGGAAUUCCCGGUGUAGCGGUGAAAUGCGUAGAGAUCGGGAGGAACACCAGUGGCGAAGGCGGCCUGCUGGACGACAACUGACGCUGAGGCGCGAAAGCGUGGGGAGCAAACAGGAUUAGAUACCCUGGUAGUCCACGCUGUAAACGAUGAAUACUAGGUGUGGGGGGACUGACCCCCUCCGUGCCGCAGUUAACACAAUAAGUAUUCCACCUGGGGAGUACGAUCGCAAGAUUGAAACUCAAAGGAAUUGGCGGGG
rnacentral:rRNA from 1 species